UGCACCUAUCGUCUAAUGGUUAGGACAUCAGGAUUUCAAUCUGAGAAUCGGAGUUCAAUUCUCCGUGGGUGUGCCAA
rnacentral:tRNA from 1 species